rnacentral:rRNA from 1 species
GGCGGACGGGUGCGUAACGCGUGGGAAUCUGCCCCUUGGUUCGGAAUAACAGUUAGAAAUGACUGCUAAUACCGGAUGAUGUCUUCGGACCAAAGAUUUAUCGCCAAGGGAUGAGCCCGCGUAGGAUUAGCUAGUUGGUGAGGUAAAAGCUCACCAAGGCGACGAUCCUUAGCUGGUCUGAGAGGAUGAUCAGCCACACUGGGACUGAGACACGGCCCAG